CAGGAGCACACUGGGGGAUGCAGUUCCUCAGGCCACAACAGUAGAAAACCCAUACUAUCUCUAUCUCUAUAUCCAUGUAGACUGAGAGACGGACAACUUGAUAGACAGACAGGAGGAUUGACAGACAGAGAGCUUCGUUUAUUUGUUAUUCUGUCUUACUACCUUCCUGUCUGUGUAUCUGUCAGUCUGUCUAUCUGUCUGCCCAUCAGUCCUCUCUGGAUAUCUAUCUCUACAUAGGUGUCCACUCUAGAAAAUCAGGAUAAGUGGUUGCAGACAAGCAAAGCAUGUGAUGGUGCCCCAGUUGGGUUCAGAUGGCUCAGAAGAUGUAUUUGGUUCAAGAUUGGAUGGGGAGUGGCAGACCUCCACUUUGGCCAGUGAGGUGAGUGGCUGUGGCAGACUGCAUGAUGCGUCCAAACCCUUCUGAUCAGACUCUUGCAUGAGGUGAUGGAAGUCUUGCAUAGGAAAGCAAGGAAUCAAGAUCUCAGAGGCUAAGCUCUGCGCCUUACUUUAUAGGGAUCUUAACCUGUUGUCCUGACGUUUCCCAACAAGGAGCAUUUACUAAACAAGAAUGGCAUUUCCUCGGGCAGGCUAUGAAACAAAGUGAGGCAAAAGGACACAGAAUGUUAGCCACCAUUGAGAUCCCAUGCACUCUAGUGAGGAUACUGCACAAACUGUGGAGAGUUGAGCUGUUCCUCAGCUGCAGUCCCCACCUUUCACUGGUUCUACUCACUCUUCUUUCCCCUUUUAAUGAGAUGCCAAAGAGAAACACCCCUUCCUUAAUGCUGCAGAUGCCAAGAACCAGCCCCAUGGCCUGGGACAAACCUCCUGCCCAACCCCCUUGUUUCUGGGUCCUGUCCUCACUGCUGUCAAAAGAUAGCUAAACCGCAGCAUGGAGGCAUGAUGUCUGGCUGUCCUCCCAAGGAGCAGCUUUUGCACCCAUGCUCUUCCACCUCGGCUGCCUCCUGACCACAUUCAACAUGACUUUCCAAAUCAAUAAAAUGUCUCUUUUUCUUUUGAA